AACAAACGCUGGCGGCGUGCCUAACACAUGCAAGUCGUACGAGAAAGGGUCCUUCGGGGCCUGAGUAAAGUGGCGCACGGGUGAGUAACGCGUGGAUAAUCUGCCCUUCAGUUGGGAACAACUCAUCGAAAGGUGGGCUAAUACCGAAUAAUACUGCAAGACUUUGGUCAAGCAGUCAAAGAGAGCCUCUGCUUGCAAGCCCUCGCUGAAGGAUGAGUCCGCGUAUUAUUAGCUAGUUGGUAGGGUAAUGGCCUACCAAGGCGACGAUGGUUAGCCGGUCUGAGAGGAUGAUCAGCCACACUGGAACUGAGGCACGGUCCAGACUCCUACGGGAGGCAGCAGUGAGGAAUCUUGCGCAAUUGGGGAAACCCUGACGCAGCAACGCCGCGUGAGUGAGGAAGGCCUUCGGGUCGUAAAGCUCUGUCAGUUGGGAAGAAAUGUCUGGGAGUAAAUACCUUUCAGGCUUGACGGUACCAACAGAGGAAGCACCGGCUAACUCCGUGCCAGCAGCCGCGGUAACAC
rnacentral:rRNA from 1 species